UACGUAGGGUGCGAGCGUUAAUCGGAAUUACUGGGCGUAAAGCGUGCGCAGGCGGUGCUGUAAGACAGGCGUGAAAUCCCCGGGCUUAACCUGGGAAUGGCGCUUGUGACUGCAGUGCUGGAGUGCGGCAGAGGGGGAUGGAAUUCCGCGUGUAGCAGUGAAAUGCGUAGAUAUGCGGAGGAACACCGAUGGCGUAGGCAAUCCCCUGGGCCUGCACUGACGCUCAUGCACGAAAGCGUGGGGAGCAAACAGG
rnacentral:rRNA from 1 species